AUUGAACGCUGGCGGCAGGCCUAACACAUGCAAGUCGAGCGAGCGGCGGACGGGUGAGUAAUGUCUGGGAAACUGCCGGAUGGAGGGGGAUAACUACUGGAAACGGUAGCUAAUACCGCAUACCAUCAGAUGUGCCCAGAUGGGAUUAGCUAGUAGGUGGGGUAACGGCUCACCUAGGCGACGAUCCCUAGCUGGACUGAGAGGCUGACCAGCCACACGGGACCUGAGACACGGUCCAGACUCCUACGGGAGGCAGCAGUGGGGAAUCUUGCACAAUGGACGCAAGCCUGAUGCAGCCAUGCCGCGUGAGUGAAGAAGGCUUUCGGUUUUUAAAGCGCUUUCAGCGGGGAGGCGUUACCCGCAGAAGAAGCACCGGCUAACUCCGUGCCAGCAGCCGCGGUAAUAC
rnacentral:rRNA from 1 species